rnacentral:rRNA from 1 species
UACGUAGGGGGCGAGCGUUAUCCGGAAUUAUUGGGCGUAAAGCGCACGCAGGCGGUGCGGUCAGUUCAGGGUGACAGUUUCCGGCUCAACCGGAAAAGGACCUUGAAAACUGCCGCACUUGAGGGCUUCAGAGGGAGACGGAAUUCCGGGUGGAGUGGUGAAAUGCGUAGAGAUCCGGAGGAACACCAAUGGCGAAGGCAGUCUCCUGGGAAGUUCCUGACGCUCAGGUGCGAAAGCCAGGGGAGCGAAC